rnacentral:lncRNA from 1 species
CAUCUAUAACCAUAUCUGCUCACACAUUUAUUAAGGAAAUGCAUUCCUGCUUUAACUUUGUGAUCCAGAAGGUGAAAAAGUCAAAAGAAAGGGAUUACCGGAAUUGCCGCAACCGACGACGAGAAUGGGGUGGUGGCGGGUGAUGUAGAGGCGAUGAUAGGGGAUUACCGGAAUUGUCCAAAUCUACAAAUAUUCACAUCUCGUUCUUAUGCAUCGUUCAAUACAGACACAACAAUCACUUUUUUUUAUAAGUUUUCACACACUAAAAUUGAAUCCCAGGUCUCCACCAUUGUUCAAUAAACCAUGAAAAAAACUCCUAUUUUUUUUCCACAAAUCUUCCAUUCUUCUUCACAAAAUAUUCUCCCUAUUCAGAAAAUAUCUAACAAGCAAGAAAAUAAAGCAAACACUUACACUCUUUUCACGGAGCGUCGCCGGAAAUUACACGAUUCAAGCCGCCGUCGAAAACUACUAGAGUGGAGUCGCCGCUGCUGCUCUGUAGAUGAGGAGUCAACUUUCUGUAUGCCUAG